rnacentral:rRNA from 1 species
GGCGUGCCUAAUACAUGCAAGUCGAACGAGUUCUGAUUAUUGAAAGGUGCUUGCAUCUUGAUUUAAUUUUGAACGAGUGGCGGACGGGUGAGUAACACGUGGGUAACCUGCCCUUAAGUGGGGGAUAACAUUUGGAAACAGAUGCUAAUACCGCAUAAAUCCAAAAACCGCAUGGUUCUUGGCUGAAAGAUGGCGUAAGCUAUCGCUUUUGGAUGGACCCGCGGCGUAUUAGCUAGUUGGUGAGGUAACGGCUCACCAAGGCAAUGAUACGUAGCCGAACUGAGAGGUUGAUCGGCCACAUUGGGACUGAGACACGGCCCAAACCCCUACGGGAGGCAGCAGUAGGGAAUCUUCCACAAUGGACGCAAGUCUGAUGGAGCAACGCCGCGUGAGUGAAGAAGGCUUUCGGGUCGUAAAACUCUGUUGUUGGACAAGAAUGGUCGGCAGAGUAACUGUUGUCGGCGUGACGGUAUCCAACCAGAAAGCCACGGCUAACUACGUGCCAACAGCCGCGGUAAUACGUAGGUGGCAAGCGUUAUCCGGAUUUAUUGGGCGUAAAGCGAGCGCAGGCGGUUUUUUAAGUCUGAUGUGAAAGCCCUCGGCUUAACCGAUGAAGUGCAUCGGAAACUGGGAAACUUGAGUGCAGAAGAGGACAGUGGAACUCCAUGUGUAGCGGUGAAAUGCGUAGAUAUAUGGAAGAACACCAGUGGCGAAGGCGGCUGUCUGGUCUGUAACUGACGCUGAGGCUCGAAAGCAUGGGUAGCGAACAGGAUUAGAUACCCUGGUAGUCCAUGCCGUAAACGAUGAAUGCUAGGUGUUGGAGGGUUUCCGCCCUUCAGUGCCGCAGCUAACGCAUUAAGCAUUCCGCCUGGGGAGUACGACCGCAAGGUUGAAACUCAAAGGAAUUGACGGGGGCCCGCACAAGCGGUGGAGCAUGUGGUUUAAUUCGAAGCAACGCGAAGAACCUUACCAGGUCUUGACAUCUUUUGAUCACCUGAGAGAUCAGGUUUCCCCUUCGGGGGCAAAAUGACAGGUGGUGCAUGGUUGUCGUCAGCUCGUGUCGUGAGAUGUUGGGUUAAGUCCCGCAACGAGCGCAACCCUUAUGACUAGUUGCCAGCAUUUAGUUGGGCACUCUAGUAAGACUGCCGGUGACAAACCGGAGGAAGGUGGGGAUGACGUCAAAUCAUCAUGCCCCUUAUGACCUGGGCUACACGCGUGCUACAAUGGAUGGUACAACGAGUUGCGAGACCGCGAGGUCAAGCUAAUCUCUUAAAGCCAUUCUCAGUUCGGACUGUAGGCUGCAACUCGCCUACACGAAGUCGGAAUCGCUAGUAAUCGCGGAUCAGCACGCCGCGGUGAAUACGUUCCCGGGCCUUGUACACACCGCCCGUCACACCAUGAGAGUUUGUAACACCCGAAGCCGGUGGCGUAACCCUUUUAGGGAGCGAGCCGUCUAAGGUGGGACAAAUGAUUAGGGUGAAGUCAUAACAA